ensembl:misc_RNA 7SK 7SK RNA
GGACCUGUGUAUGUGAUCUGGCUGCGACAUCUGUCACCCCACUGAUCGCCAGGGUUGAUUUGGCUGAUCUGGCUGGGUAGGCGGGUGUCCCCUUCCUCACCGCUCCAUGUGUGUCCCUCCUGAAGCUGUGAGCCAUUAAAGAGGACAGCCUUCCCCGAAUAGAGACAGACUGGUCGAGGGUAUACGAGUAGCUACACUCCCCUCCAAACAAGCUCUCAAGGACCUCAUGCUUUAUCCACUACACACCUCCCAACUUUCUUUCCUACCAGGGUUAGUGCUGGGGCUUGGUGCCAGUAACUGUGAAUC